GACGAACGCUGGCGGCGUGCUUAACACAUGCAAGUCGAACGGAAAGGCCCUGCUUUUGUGGGGUGCUCGAGUGGCGAACGGGUGAGUAACACGUGAGUAACCUGCCCUUGACUUUGGGAUAACUUCAGGAAACUGGGGCUAAUACCGGAUAGGAGCUCCUGCUGCAUGGUGGGGGUUGGAAAGUUUCGGCGGUUGGGGAUGGACUCGCGGCUUAUCAGCUUGUUGGUGGGGUAGUGGCUUACCAAGGCUUUGACGGGUAGCCGGCCUGAGAGGGUGACCGGCCACAUUGGGACUGAGAUACGGACCAGACUCCUACGGGAGGCAGCAGUGGGGAAUAUGGCACAAUGGGCGGAAGCCUGAUGCAGCAACGCCGCGUGCGGGAUGACGGCCUUCGGGUUGUAAACCGCUUUCGCCUGUGACGAAGCGUGAGUGACGGUAAUGGGUAAAGAAGCACCGGCUAACUACGUG
rnacentral:rRNA from 1 species